CGGCACUGCAAAAAACCCUUGUAACACCGGAUUCCAGCGCCGUGCUAAGUCAGUACCCUCAGUGCUAAGUCAGCAUUCUACCUUCUCCAAGGUCAUUGGAUUGGGGGCCUAAUGCUCAUGCACUUCAAGCGCUGAGAGCGUAUUAAGCCAUACCCAUAGGAAAGCAUCGACUCAAUGUUUUCUUAUGAAGAUUUAAUUGUCGCUGGAUGUCCUCAUUUCUGAGUGUGACAGGGACACAGCACUCAUUGAGCUGAAGUGGUCUUGGUGUCUGUAGUGUCCCUUUAAACACACGCCUACUAGUUGUCUUCCUAACAAACUUGAUGAUUUCAGUCAGAGAGGCGAAGCCGCCAUAGGGAGACCAGUGCAACGAGGUACGAAAGGUAAAUAAAACUCAUGCAUGUUUAUAUUCUAACGCUUUAGUGCUCCAUUAACAGUGAUUGUUCGCCGUUUCUGCUAGGUAAACCUGCUGCUUCAAAUCUGAACAGAAAUUUUUCUAUUUCUUUGAGUGGAUGAAGGACAUGCAAUUCUGUAAUUAAAAAAUAUCUAUAGUGUUAUUCACUAAAUUGUCAAAAUGGUGGGAAGAUAGGAAAAAAAGACAUAUUUUAGACAUAUAGCCACAUUGUUUUCAUAUUUAAUAUAAUCUCAAAAUUCUACUUUCACAAACAGGAAAUAUGCCACUGUUUCUAAAAAGGCAAGGCACUGACUAACAAAACAAACACUAUUAUCACAGGCAUGUCUCCCAUUACAGUUCUGCUAAUGUAAGAGGGAUCAUGGCAGAUUUAAAUCCCAUCAUUAUUAGAUUUUACAGGGGCUAUUUUAUACAAGGAGUAAUUUAUACUUAGAACAUAUCAGAGAUAGUUAUUAAAAGGGAAUUGCACUUUGAAAGCAGAAAUUGUAGAAUUCAGUCAACUAUUUUGCCAACUCAGUUGCUUUGGACCAAAAUGCAUAAUUGCAUUUUUUUUUUUUUUACAGUUCUUGCUUGGCGAAUGAACCUCAAAUUAACCAUGACUACAGACUACCCAAAGCAUAUGAUGAAUAGCAACAAUACACACAACUACUAAUGCAUGUGUAGUCAGUGUAUAAGUCAUACCUGCUCCACGAGAUAGAUAACGGUCCUGCAUUUUCUCCUGAUCCAGCGAUUCCCUUGACAGACACAAUGACGUCAAAUGUUUUUCCGAUGUCAGUGAUGACGUAGAACGCUCCGCCUCUCUCUCCUUUUAUUCACGUCACGGUCUGCAUCUGGUGUGGGUGGUCUGGUAGUACUGUUUGUCCACACAACAUGGGUCAAAUUCAUUUUGGCGUCAUGCAUGACACAGGCCAAUCAGAGAUCACAGCCCUUGUGACCUCUGUACAUUGCCCUGUUAUGGUUUUUGUUAGCCCAAGAAUGCAUUAGUUUAUCCUUAGUAUUUCUGGUUUCCUACUUAGCUUUGUUUUAUCAUUUAUUCUGGUAUCCCUCACCCUUCGCUCUUUCAUACUCGUUUAUCCAUCUGUCUCCAGUCCUGUCAUAGGCCUGUAGCUGACUAUUCUAUAUCCUACACCUACUAUAUACAUUAAGCCCGGCCACUCUAAGGUCCGGUAAUAUGUCUUUUUUUGUGUAAAGGGUUGUACUUGCCUCACUGUUUGCCAGUUAGGGCAUCUGUCCUUGACAAUAAGUUAUAAGGUAAAGCCUUAGCCAAUCAUACGGUGCUCCAUAUAUAUGACAAAUAGUAGAUAGACAGUCAUACCAUUUUGAUACACCAAGUAUGACGGAACCUGGAAUGGCAAAAUGCAUCUCCAUCAUUAACAUCACAGGUGGACUAAUGCUGCAUCUGCCAGUACACCCCAUAAAAAGAGCUUAAAUGUGCCCCUAUUUUAGUGUCAACCUCUAUGAUUGAGAUGAGGUUGCCAGGUCCAGACUUAGGUGGUGUCUACAAAUAUGGGUCAAAAUGUUAGUAAAACCAGUGUCAGAGUUUAGUGGUAAUAGGGUCACAGGUUAGAAGGAGUAGGGGUAGAUGCAAGAGAUAGAGGUUAGAGGUAACAGGGUGCCAUAACAGGGGUGCAGAGAGGUUAAAUGUUUAAGGGUAGUGUUAAGGUUAGAGCGGCUACUGGAUGAAGGGUUCUGUUAUGGUGUCCGGAUUAAAUCUGGCUCCUGUCACAGUCUUCACAUAUUUAAAUUAGAGAGGUGAUUAUACACUCAUAUCCCCUACUGACAAUUACAAAUUAGAAAUUUAUUACUACUGGAAUAUGGCUCCUUUACUCCGAAAGUCAUAAUCAAAAGUUAUAAUUCCAUAUGGCAAGACAUUAUACAUCUAAAACAAAUCACGCUCUCUUCAACCAACAGGUUCUGAUAUCCUAACUCAGACAGCCAGUUGCAAAACUAGCAACUAUCGAUGUAACUUCGUGCUCUUCUACUAAUUAGGGUGAAAAGGUCGUCAUUUAAUGUAGAGGUGCUUAUGGAACUGCAGCGCUGCAUUGAAAUGCUUUUCGCUCUGAAUAGAUCAAAUAUUAUAAAAUAUAUUGUAGGAAUUAGUGCAAAACAAUUCACACUUCUCUUCUGUGCUUUACUACGCCGGGCUGCUCAGCAAUUAUAUUCAUCACAUGUACAUCCCUUUCAUUUUUAAUUGUAUUGCUUUUAAAAGGAGAAAUGUUGUUAGAGGUGACUCACAGGUCCAUUGAAGAAAAUGAGAAGUAGCUUUAUCCAAAGCAGAAGCUCGAUGUGAUCGUUUUAUGAGUCACAGUCUUAUCUAUUGAAAAGAUUGAUACCUUUUGACCCAGAAAGUGUUACAACUUAUUAGCAUUAUCAGUAUCCCUACAGGAGAACCAGUCACGUGGCUUUGGAGUCCAAGAUCAUAAACAGUGUAUAAGAGUUUGGUCCAUCCAGUACAGAUAGGCACAGAGAACACUGUAGUAGCUCCUGCAUUUGAUUUCAGCUAAUAGAUAACAUGCAAGCCCAAUGACCCAGCCUAGGAUCUUCUGAAUACAAGUUCCACCCUUGCGCACAAGACUAUGGUCAGAUCCCUUGUACCAAAAAACAAAAACUGGAACUGCACUCAAUACAUAAAUAAAGCCUGGGUGCAACCAAACCUGGGGUCUGCACCAAGGCCCAAGAAGUCGUUCGUAGUCACUGAAGAAAGUAUAAUUCUUUAUUUUUGGUUAAAUUCAUAGGUACAAAUAUAUCAAAAACGAGAUGCAGCAAGUGUAGGUUAAUACUUCAGCAAAAUAGUGUCUUGAUGUUCAAGAUUCUACGCCUGUUUAACACACUAUGAAUUAAUUUUAUAAAAUUAUACACGGUCUAAAUAUAUAAACUAAAUAAAUCCAGCAUAGCUUAAAGGACCACUCUAGGCACCCAGACCACUUCAGCUUAAUUAAGUGGUCUGGGUGCCAGGUCCUUCUAGGGUUAACCCAUUUUUUCAUAAUUAUAGCAGUUUCAGAGAAACUGCUAUAAUUAUGAAUGGGUUAAGCCUUCCCCCUAAUCCUCUAGUGGCUGUCUCAUUGACAGCCACUAGAGGCGCUUGCGUGCUUCUCACCGUGAAAAUCACAGUGAGAGCACGCUAGCGUCCAUAGGAAAGCAUUGUAAAUGCUUUCUAGAGAUCGCUGAAUGCCGCGCAGCCUUGCUAGCAUUCAGUCGGGGCGGGCGUAACGGAGGCGGAGAGGAGGAGGAGAGCUCCCCAGCCGCUGGAAAAAGGUAAGUUUUUACCCCUUUCCCCCUUCCAGAGCCGGGCGGGAGGGGGACCCUGAGGGUGGGGGCACCCUCAGGGCACUAUAGUGCCAGGAAAACGAGUAUGUUUUCCUGGCACUAUAGUGGUCCUUUAACAUUGACUAAGCUGAACUGCUGUUGGACAUCUAACACAGAGUGAGGCCAUAAACACAAUGUAUGUCAGGAUGUAUAGUGACUAUGUAUAUAUUUUAAGCCUUAGGGAGAAUAGGCUUAAGAAAAACAGACUCUCUUUGCCACCUAAAGGUGGGGUUGAGGUGGAGGAGGGAGGGAAGGUUAAGAUUGGUUCUAAUGACCAAUCAAACUGGUUGAGAGUUUGACUUCUCAUGCAGUGUGCUGCAUAAAAUGAUACACUAAACAACAAAAACAUAAUCAAUGAUGCAACCCUAGAAUUUUAAGGGAUAUUAUAAGGCCAUGUGAGGUGGGUAUUAGCAGUCCCGGUGAUUGUAUCAGGUAGUGAUCGCGGCAUAGCCUUCCUUUGCAGCUUCUCGUGGUAUGAAAGAGAUUGCCGUCUCUGAGAACACCUGUGCGGUGUUCAGGCUGCCGUCCCAGAACCAGCUUGUGACAGAGAGUCCAGAGGCAGGUUCAGUGUGGCCAACAGGGCUGUUUCCUCCGCAACAUCAUGGAUUAGAUGCUUGGUUUCACCCUGCAGGACCAUGAGUGCAAGAGUCACCCACCAGGUGAGGCGAAGGUGGAUAACAAGGUCUCUAGGCACAUUUUCCGGCGCCCAAGGGGAUUUAGGCACUCGGAAAAAUCUAUUGAUUCCUACCACUUUGAAAAGUGCCUAGUAGGUGCCUCAGGAGGUGUGGGAGUUCAGCAGUUGGCACGUCCUCAUUUAUGCCCUUAAUUUUUAUAUCAUUUUGCUCCUCAGGUCUUCGAUGGGGCAUAAGCAACGAUCAUUCGUCUUGCUUUUCUUCUGGAGCCCCUUGACUGCCUUCUGUAACGUCAUGAUCUGAAUUGCUUGAUCGCUGGAUGCUUUCUCCACCACUGCUAGUCUUGCCGACAGGCCCUGCAGGGUGUACGGAUUGAUGCCACAUCUGCCUUAAUAGUUUUCUGAAGGUCCGCAAGGAGAGCUUUCAGCACCACAGUAGUCUCUAGGGCGGUAUCCGGACCAGUAGGCAUCGGCGCGUAAUGUGUUUCUGGGGGAUUAUCCACCUACUCCUCAGGGACAGGUCAUCCGAGAGUUUGGAGUAGCCUCUGGAUAAGCGUUCAUCUUGGGUGCUGACGCGCCAUGCGGCUGCCACAGUAAGUCUCCAAUAUUAAAGCCCAUCAGUGGCUUUUUUUUAUUUCUGUUUUUUUUAUUUGCACCCCUCCUGUGGGGGCUCCCCAGGCCAUUCGAUUCUCGGUUUCAGGGCCCACAAAGAGGUAUAUUGAUUCCUGUUGUUCAUACCUCUCAUUUCAGUAUGGUCAUUACGCUCAGUAGCUUGGCUCUGCCCCAAUUAUAAUGUAUUUUGAAUCAUAAUGAAAAAAUUCAUAGAUUUCGUUCAUGUAAUUUUGCAAUUCGUCAUUAAAAAUAAGCAAAUUAAGCUUUUAUCAACAUAUUGUCUAAAAUGUCAUUCCUUCCCUUCAUAAUGAAAUCUGCUCAUGGUGAAACGAGAAAAUGGAGCUAAUAAACAAGUGGUCAAAGUUUUGGCACACAACACAUAUGAUAAAUUAGUGAGGGUUUGAGGAAAGAGAGAUAAGGGACGAGGAACUGACAGAGGGCCAUACCUUUCAUUCAUAGAAUAGGGAACCAGUAUAUUACCCAGGUAUGUUUUUAAGUUAAUAAUAAAAUCUCCAUGGCAAUAAAACAUAAUAUUUUAACGAUACAUGCUUUAUCUUCCCUGUAAAUCUCAGUUCCUCAGUUUUCAAACAAUAAAACUGAGAAGUAUCUGCAGUUUUAUCUGAAAAAGCUCAAGGGUUUGAACUUUUUAGCCAAAAUGGAGCAACGCAAGUUGAAAUCUAAUCAGAAUGUGAUUGUUUUAAAGUUGAAACUAAAAGCUGACAAUUGCAUAAUAAUAAUGAGUACAGAGUCAUUUAUUGAUGUGAGAUGAUCCAAGCAGUUGAUAUCUAUAGAUUGCAAAAAUCUGCCUGCCUGCCUACUGACACAGAGACUUGUGGGAUAUGGAGAAAUAAUAUUUUGCCAGCUACAACUAAAAAAGGAUUUUCAUAAAUCUACAUUGUUUCGUAAAUUAUCAUCUGGCUAAUUGAUUUGCAACUUCAACUGCUUUGUACAAAUAUAAAAGUACUCAAUACACUUGGUACCAACUGUUAAGGCCUUUAUUAUAUAACAAUGAAUACAUAUUAUGGACAAAAUUUCCUUUCCUAUAUUUGUGCAACGAUUAAAUCAGUGCAAUAGUGGAGUCAUAGAAACAUAGAAACAUAGAAUGUGACGGCAGAUAAGAACCAUUCGGCCCAUCUAGUCUGCCCAAUUUUCUAAAUACUUUCAUUACUCCCUAGUCUUAUCUUAUAGUUAGGAUAGUCUUAUGCCUAUCCCACGCAUGCUUAAACUCCUUUACUGUGUUAACCUCUACCACUUCAGCUGGAAGGCUAUUCCAUGCAUCAACUGCCCUCUCAGUAAAGUAAUACUUCCUGAUAUUAUUUUUAAACCUUUGUCCCUCUAAUUUAAGACUAUGUCCCCUUGUUGUGGUAGUUUUUCUUCUUUUAAAUAUAGUCUCCUCCUUUACUGUGUUGAUUCCCUUUAUAUAUUUAAAUGUUUCUAUCAUAUCCCCCCUGUCUCGUCUUUCCUCCAAGCUAUACAUGUUAAGAUCCUUUAACCUUUCCUGGUAAGUUUUAUCCAUGAACCAGUUUAGUAGCCCUUCUCUGAACCCUCUCUAAGGUAUCAAUAUCCUUCUGAAGAUACGGUCUCCAGUACUGUGUACAAUACUCCAAGUGAGGUCUCACCAGUGUUCUGUACAAAGGGAUGAGCACUUCCCUCUUUCUACUGCUAAUACCUCUCCCUAUACAACCAAGCAUUCUGCUAGCAUUUCCUGCUGCUCUAUUACAUUGUCUGCCUACCUUUAAGUCAUCAGAAAUAAUCACCCCUAAAUCCCUUUCCUCAUAUGUUGAGGUUAGGACUCUAUCAAAUAUUCUGUACUCUGCCCUUGGGUUUUUACGUCCAAGAUGCAUUAUCUUGCAGUUAUCCACAUUAAAUGUCAGUUGCCACAAUUCUGACCAUUUUUCUAGUUUACCUAAAUCAUUUGUCAUUUGGCUUAUCCCUCCUGGAACAUCAACCCUGUUACAUAUCUUAGUAUCAUCAGCAAAAAGACAUACCUUACCAUCAAGACCUUCUGCAAUAUCACUAAUAAAAAUAUUAAAGAGAAUGGGUCCAAGUACAGAUCCCUGAGGUACCCCACUGGUGACAAGUCCAAGCUUCGAAUAUAUUCCAUUAACUACAACCCUCUGUUGCCUGUCACUCAGUCACUGCCUUACCCAUUCAACAAUAUUUGAAUCCAAACUUAAAGAUUGCAGUUUAUUUAUAAGCCUUCUAUGUGCAACAGUGUCAAAAGCCUUACUGAAAUCUAGGUAAGCAAUGUCUACUGCACCACCCUGAUCUAUAAUUUUAGUUACCCAAUCAAAAAAAAUCAAUAAGAUUAGUUUGGCAUGAUCUCCCUGAAGUAAACCCAUGUUGUCUCUGAUCUUAAAAUCCAUGUGUUUUAUACAGUAAGCAUACUCACAUGCAGACAGAGACAAUCUCACUAACACACACCAACUCAUUGAUACACAGCCUCAUAGACAAACAAUCUCACUGAUAUAAAUGAGCUCAUUGAAAUAAAAACACAAGCUCACUCACUAGCAUGCACACACAUAUGCAAGCAAGCUCACACACACACACACACAAACAGCUUCAUGUAGUGGUUCUGGUGUCUAUAGCCUGUCCCUGCAGGCUUUUCACAGUGUGCAGCACCUACAUUCAUGGCCUCCCGCUCUGGAGGUGCUGAACGUUCCCCAUAGAGAUACAUUUAUUCAAUGCAUCUCUAUGAGGAGAUGCUGAUUGGUGUAGCGUUUUGCAGCCAAUCCUAUGGCAGAGCAGGAUUGGAUUGGCUAAGAUCAUCAAGCCUGAUGAUCUCAGCCAUAGAGGCAGGGCCAGUCGAGGAGAGAUCAGCACGGCAUGGGAAAUAAAUAAAGGUGAGUAAAAACACUAUUUUUAAACACACACAGACACACACAUACACCAUGACAACACAGACACACACACAUAUACCAUGACACACACAUAUACCAUGACACACACACACCAUGACAGACACUCACACCGUGACACAGACAAACACACACACCAUGACAGACACACACUCACACUGACAGAAUGACACAUAUUACCUCUGCUCACCAGCGCGCAGCUUAAUGAGACUGGUUCCGGAAUAUGAUGUCAUAUUCUGGCCCCGGUCUCAUUAAGUAGCGCGCCAGGGUGGGGGAGAAGAGCAGAGACAGCACAACUCCCCCUACGGCUGCCAUCACAGCUCCCCCUGCGGCCACCAGCACGCAUUGCUAUCUGCCUGGCCCCAGGUGCCGAUGGUCCACCGGGAAAUUUUCCUGUGUCCCGGGGGGCCAGUCCAGCUCUGGUAACUAUUCAGGAAUGCCAUAACCGUAUAGAGGCAAUAAUAGGGUUGGCAUGCUUUAAUUACUGAUCAAAUUUAUUCCUGGUCAAAGUUGCCCAGGUAUAGGCACCAAGUCUUGCACCAACAGUUAUCUCCUGUCAUUAUACUGGUUUGACUAAUUCAGACUUUUAUUCAAAUGCUCAUUGAAUGAUGUAGCAGUGUCCUGGAAGAGCAGUACAAAGGAUGAUGGGAUAUUCAUUAAAUUUGCAAAGCACACCGGGAGCGUUUAACAAUGAAAUCUGGAAAUGCAUAUUUGAAUGAAUUUCUUUCUCCAUAUUUCAUGCACCGGGAGAUAUCUACGGACAGGAAGGAAGGAUUGUACUGAUUGAUGCUUUCUAUUUUCAAUUUCCAGGUACGGCUGGAUUGCAGGAUGAUUGUUUAUUGAAUGCAGAGUCAUGAUAAAUAUAUAAUGAACACAGGAAGCUCAGCUUCUCUUAAUUGACAAGUCCUUGAGUGCCGAACGUCAGGCUGUAAAUUUGCUCACAGUGACGUGAGCAGCAUCCGAAAAUGACUUUCUUCAUCAAUAUUUGACGAGUCGGCUCGCAGAGAUUGAGUGGUUUUUCCAACCUUUCUGUUCUCGUGAAGUGCAGGAUAUCCCUGUGGAAACAUCACGAUGCCCUGGGAAUCCAAUCACAGUUUCAAAUGGAUUACACUAUUCUAGCUGCAUUCAUGCCAAGGGGACGCCAAGGACAAUUUAUUUUAAUGAUAUAUUUUCUAGUACGGAUGUUCCUUAUACAAAUAUAUAUUUAACAGGCUUUCUAAUUAACCUUUCAUUUUCCCCUGUCCAUGUGUCAUCUGUCAGGUAAUCCUGAUACUUUUCAGUUAUUUCAGAAAUUGAAUAAAUAUCCAUAUUCCAGAAUUCCCUUUCACUCUAUUUACCAUUGUGGUCCAUGGUGGAG